AGUGCGAGCGACCCCGGGCCGGCUGCGUGGAGCUGGCGCUGCCUCUCCUGAAGCCGAGGCGCUAACUUGAGUGAAGAGGUCUAUAGGCUUUUUCACUUUUGGUUAUCUGCUCAGGCGCUCCUUGGGGUCGCGCAUGGUCUCGGACAGGGUUUGCAAGGACUUCGGAGCUAACCAGUUUGGAGCCAUAACCCUUUCGUACUUGCCAAAAAACUCUGGGCAAGACUCUUGAAUUUUGAGCCGCAGUAUUCUCGUUCAUAAGUUUAUACAUCACCUGAUUUUGAAAGGAAGAUGUCUUACCCAGGAUAACUUAGAUCUCGAAGUCUCCUUAUCUCAUUAUUGAAUAUGAACCUACACAAACUUUUUACCUUGUGAUUUGUAUCCACAUCC
rnacentral:lncRNA from 10 species